GAGAAUAUGGUGUAGCCGGAUAACACGUUAGCUUGCGAAGCUAAAGACCGAAGGUUCGAGUCCUUCUAUUCUCG
rnacentral:tRNA from 1 species